rnacentral:lncRNA from 1 species
CUACUUAAGCAAUUCUGUUUAAGUUCUCAUAUUAUUAUUUAUAUCACUUUUAUUUUACAAAAUUGUCUGUUAUUUUGUUUUGGCCAUUCCUCAAUUUUCUAACUUUCUAAAUCAUUGUUAUUUUAGUAAAAAAAAUUUAAACAAUAGGUAGCUGUGAUUCUUAAAAUUCAGUUUAAGGGUCUGUUUAAAGAAAUGAUUUUUAAAACUUUACACCAAUUAUGAUCACUGAAAUAUUUGAAGUGUUUCUGUCAUGUAUAUUUUGUUUCCUAUGGAUUAUGUUUUUCUUCUUUCUCCUUUUCUGCCUUGGAUUAGGUCAAUGGUUCCAAGCAAGGUUCUUCUGGCUGUCAUAUGGUCACAACCAGCAGGCAGUGCUACUAGCAUCACGUGGGAAGGGGGAAUAUAAAGAGGAGGAAUAAUGGAUUCGAGUGGGAUGGAUGAAGAUAUAAUCCUGACACUUGCUGGGCCUCAUGCAAUCCUCACAGAUUAAAUAAAUUGGACCUUCAAAAAAAGGAAAUAAUCCUACAAAGGGAAUCACAGAUACAAGGAGGACUAAUAAGGUAAGCAUGUAGGUAAAGUAUACUGUCCACAUUUAAGUGCAUAUAGAGUAAUAUAAAUACAAGCAUAGAUUUUUUUUUGUUUUAUUUAUUUUUUAUAUAAUGAUUUUUAUUUUUUCCAUUAUAGCUGGUUUAGUGUCUGUCAAUUUUCUACCGUACAGCAUGAUGACCCAGUUACAAUCCACGUAUACAUUCUUUUUUCUCACAUUAUCAUGCUCCAUCAUAAGUGACCAGACAUAGUUCCCAGUUGGUAUACAGCAGGAUCUAGAUUUACAGAAUUACAAGAGGGAAUUGAAAGAAAAAUCCACCAUUUCAGAAGUAGUUCUCAAAACUCUCAAUAAGAAAAAGACAAAGCUGACAAGUUUCUAGAUUCUUAAAAAUUUAUGUGAAGGGAAGAGGAAGAGAGACCUAUAUUCCAAAUCUCAAGGAAUUUUACAAAUAUCUACACUAUGUUAAAAUAGGAUAAAAUGUAUUAGAAAUACAGAAAAAUUUUCAAAUCUAUUUUUAGAUGAGAAAAUUAGUCAUUCUUUGUCUAUAUUGAGAAGUCUCAUAAUUUCUCAGCUAAUCUCUGUGAACAGGAACUCAAAUCACUUUUAUAGCAAAGUACUAAAUGAAUAUACAAGAAAUAGACUCUCUUUCAUUGUAAUUAAUAAGUAGGGUAGAUACAAGUGAAAAUGUACUCAAAUCAAGUCAUUCUCUUUUAAUCUCAUGUACCUUUUCAUAAAAAUUUUCACUUACUUUUGGGCAAAAAUUUUUAUUUUUAUAUCGAUUUUUUUCCAUAUAGAUAUAUUCCCCUUAGAAGACAAAAUCUCUGAGGAAGAAAUGUAUUCUCUGUAUUUAAGCUCUGAUUAAAGACAGCAAUAUUUUGCUCAAGAAUACAGUUUUGAAGGAGUUCCCUUGUGGCAUAGUAGGUUAAGGAUCUAGUGUUGUCACUGCAGUGGCUCAGUCACUGCUGUGGUGCAGGUUUGAUCCCUGCCUGGCCUGGAAACUUCCAUAUGCCACAGGCAUGGCCAAAAAGAAAAAAGAAAAAAAGAAUGAAGUUUUGAGACAAAUGUGUGGCUUUUUGCCUUUUAAAAGAACUGGGAUAUUCUGAAAUCACUGGUAUGAUUUUUAUAAUGGCUAUCAUUAAAUAAUACCUUAACUAAUUAAAAACUGAGGAACCAAUUAUCAGUUUUUAAUAAAUGUAUUGUGUUAUUGUCACUACAGUACUAUAAACUAUUACUUGUGGUGGUAUAUGAAAUUAAUAGAAGUAUAUUUAUUUUUUUUUUCAGGAAUAGCUCCAAACCAUUAAAAUAAAAAGAUUUAUAUAAGUUUACUGGAAAGGUUAACACACAAGCAAUUACAUAAACCUUUGUGUUGUUUCAAACUGACUUUGCCUUCAACCCCACAAAUUAAACCAAAUUUUUUCUUGUAAUGUAGAAUUAUUUGGCUAUAGAUAAACCUCUGUUUUCUCUCAGAGUUCUCACAUCCUUUUUUGUAUAAGCAAAUUUUUGUCUAGAACAGUUUUAGUUUCACAACAAAAUUUAAGCAGAAAGUAUAGAUAGUUCCUUCAUACCACUGGCUACUACACAUGCACACUUUCCUGCACAAUGAAAUCCUACCAGAAGGGCACAUUUGUCACAACUGAUAAACAUACAUUGACACAUCAUUACCACUCAUGUCCGUAGUUUACAUUAGAUUUCACUCUGUGUUGUGCAUCUAUGGAUUUAACAAACAUGUAAUGACAUGUAUCCAUGACUACAGUGUCACACAGGAUAGUUCCACUGCCCUAGAUAACCUGUGUACUCUCCCUGUUUUUCUGUCCCUCCUGUGGCAAUCACUGAUCCAUUUACUAUUUUCAUAGUUUUGCCUUUGCCAGAAUGUCAAAUAGAUGAAAUCACACAAUAUUUUCAUUUUGGUUUUUUCUUUUAGUGCUCCGCAUUUAGGUUUCCUCCAUGUCUUUUCAUGGCUUGGUAGCUCAUUUCUUUUUAAUGCUAAAUAAUACUGCAUUAUCUGGAUAUAUUAUGGUUCAUUUAUCUACUCGCCUGUUGAAGGACAUCAUUGUUGCUUCUAGUUUUGGCAACUAUGAAUAAAGAUGCUAUAAACAUCUGUGGGAGGC